rnacentral:rRNA from 1 species
AACGAACGCUGGCGGCAUGCCUAACACAUGCAAGUCGAGCGCCUGUAGCGAUACGGGAGCGGCGCACGGGUGAGUAACGCGUGGGAACCUGCCCUUAGGUUCGGGACAACCGCGGGAAACUGCGGCUGAUACCGGAUGAAGUCCCCGAUAGAGAUAUUGGGGCCCAAAGAUUUAUCGCCUUUGGAAGGGCCCGCGUCGGAUUAGGUAGUUGGUGGGGUAACGGCUCGCCAAGCCUGUGAUCCGUAGCUGGUCUGAGAGGAUGAUCAGCCACACUGGGACUGGGACACGGCCCAGACUCCUACGGGAGGCAGCAGUGGGGAGUAUUGGACAAUGGGGGCAACCCUGAUCCAGCAAUGCCGCGUGGGUGAUGAGGGCCUUCGGGUUGUAAAGCCCUUUCGGCGGGGACGAUGAUGACGGUACCCGCAGAAGAAGCCCCGGCUAACUUCGUGCCAGCCGCCGCCGUAACAC